AAUGAUAUUGGUAAUCUAUAAAUGUAUCCGCGAGCGACUUUUUCCCGAGAGCGUCGAAGACUGGUAAACAUUUACUUCGCGAAACAACCGUCACGUGGCGUGGUCGUUUGCCCCGCGGCCAUCUUUCCGCGCUUUCAUAUUCAAGUGAUACCGCAAGUAUGAUUUCGCGGCCGAUUAAUCAGUAUUUUUUAUAUUGCUGUUCACGAUCGCGAAUUAUUAAUCGUUUCGCGAAACGCUUGUUGAUCGCCUGUAGUGUUGACAGCGUUGUAGUGUUGUAGGUCUUUCGCGUAUGUUUACGUUCGAAGUAAGUGUGAUUUUUUGCGGACAUUGAUGCUCGCGAGUGUAUGUAAUCGCGUAUUAACAUGUAUCGAAAUCAUACAUAGUAUUUGUUCAACUUCGAGAUCGAUAAGCAUAUAGGCCCCGGAGGGAUUCGAACCCUCGAUCUCCUGUUUACUAGACAGGCGCUUUAACCAACUAAGCCACGGCGCCGUUGGAUACGGAUUUCAGCAUCUAGUGAAGGAUCACAAAGUGAUUCAAUCGUUUCGUCGUGAUGUCAGAUCCAUAACGGGGGGGACGUACAAAGGGAUGCUGAAACAUGACCAGUCAUUGCUGUUUCACGGAUCCACGAUCGUCUCUACGCCAUUGGGAAUACGACGAUAUAAAUCACAUAGCGUACUUGUUUUAUUACAAUCGCAUCGAUUACGCAACGAACUCAUAGCUAGCCGAUGAUGUAUAUGCCUGAUAAUUGUCGAUUUCAAUCUGCUGAAACAGUUCGCUAAUAAAUAAUUUAAUGCGCCGGGUUUUCGUGCAUCGGUAAUUGCGAGCGAUGCACGGUCGGUCGGUUGCAUGCCGUGCAUUGAUAGGUACAAUGCGACGUGAUUGUACCAAUCAUGCGAUAUUAUAAUCAAUAAUACACGCUAUUAAACCCUAACUAUGCACGACUGCUACCGCUGCUACUAAUACAGGCUAUGCACCGCAGCGCUAUUAAGGCUCCAGCGGCUCUCAUCUCGUCAUGUUCGCUUUCUCACGAAUAAAUUUGCUAUCAUAUUCGAAUUAAUAUCAAGUCAAUGUCAAAUACGUGUCAAGGGCAUCGUGAAUAUUUAAUUUGCAUUUAAUGGCACAAGGCAAAAGUUAUCGAGAAGACUGAAAAAUAUCGUAAAUCGUAAAGUUACGCGUCUGAUUGAAAUAAGACGUGACGGUGAGAACCUCUGGAUAAGAUCAAGUAAAUAGAAACAGGCAGUGCCAGUCAGUGCUCGGGGAAAACGCAGCAUGAGACCUUUGAACGUCCACACUGUCUUUGCGUUUCUAUGGAUCGUAGAAUAUGGAGGAUCAACGAUGCGAUAGGACAUGCGUCACGUGCAACUAGAUAUUCGGUCAAUCGAUCAUGGCGAUACGUGUUUGAUUAAUGUAUUGAAGAUUCGGUCGCGACGCAUAUAGCUACGUUUAGCACGAUACCCCGCUGCGCAAAACGACGAGACGAAUUUAAUCAUGUUAGAUUUUAAUGUGACAGAUACUAAUUAUUUUUAAUAUAAUUUAUACGAGUGGAAAAACAUGGCGGGUUACAGAUAAAUUUGCGGGACAGAUUUUGUGUAGCAGCGAAACGCGCUUUUAAUACCGGAGGAGCGUCAUGGUCUGUGUUUCGAACCGAGAAACGAAAACUCUCUUCAAUUAUUUGUCUUCCUCGCUUCCGCGCAACGGGAAGUUUUCCCAAUGGCUCUCCAGGUUAAUACUUCCGAGGGACUUAAUACUCUUUGUACCUAUUUAUAACUGCGAGACGGAAUCGCGGGCACGUAAUCUUCCAUUAUAAUUGACCUCUCCGCCGUUACUCGUUGAGUCCGCGGGUAGGCGCGGGUAGAAAGGGGAUUUCGUCAU